AUGGUAGAAACAAUUCUUUGUUGCAGCCCACAACCGCAAACAGACGACGCAGCAGCCAUGCCCUUCGACGUCAACAUUCCCUCAAUAUCUUCGUUCAGCGCCACCUCCGUACUGACAACUCAACAUCACCGUGACCCACCAAGCCAUUGCAAAUCCGCAAGCUCCGUCGUACAGCCGACACCCUCUGAGAAAAGAGAUUUGGAGUCUGAACAGAAGCGAUACUGUAUGAGAGAAAGAGAAUAA